rnacentral:rRNA from 1 species
CGGCGGAUGCCUUGGCUUGCAGAGGCGAUGAAGGACGUGAUAAGCUGCGAUAAGCUACGAGGAGGUGCACAUAACCUUUGAUACGUAGAUUUCCGAAUGGGGCAACCCGGCUGGUUGAAGACCAGUCACCGAAAGGAGCAAACCCGGAGAACUGAAACAUCUAAGUACCCGGAGGAAGAGAAAAUAAUUAAUGAUUCCGAUAGUAGCGGCGAGCGAAAUCGGAACAGCCCAAACCAAUCUUGUUUCGGCAAGAUUGGGGUUGUAGGACCACGAUGUGAGAUGUUCCACGAAUUAGAAUCAACUGGAAAGUUGAACCAUAGAGGGUGAUAGUCCCGUAUAGGUAAGUGCGAAUUAUUUCUAGUGGUAUCCUGAGUAGGGCGGGACAUGUGAAAUCCUGUCUGAAUCUGUCAGAACCAUCUGAUAAGGCUAAAUACUCCUGCAAGACCGAUAGUGAACUAGUACCGUGAGGGAAAGGUGAAAAGAACCCUGAAUAAGGGAGUGAAAUAGAACCUGAAACCAUACGCUUACAAGCGGUCGGAGCGGAUUUAUCCGUGACGGCGUGCCUUUUGCAUAAUGAGCCUACGAGU